rnacentral:rRNA from 1 species
AACGAACGCUGGCGGCAGGCCUAACACAUGCAAGUCGAGCGCCCAGCAAUGGGAGCGGCGGACGGGUGAGUAACGCGUGGGAAUUUUUCCUGGAGUACGGAACAACCGAGGGAAACUUCGGCUAAUACCGUAUGAUGUCUAGCGACCAAAGAUUUAUCGCUCUGGGGUAAGCCCGCGUCAGAUUAGGUAGUUGGUGGGGUAACGGCCUACCAAGCCUGCGAUCUGUAGCUGGUCUGAGAGGACGAUCAGCCACACUGGGACUGAGACACGGCCCAGACUCCUACGGGAGGCAGCAGUGGGGAAUCUUGCGCAAUGGGCGAAAGCCUGACGCAGCCAUGCCGCGUGAGUGAAGAAGGUCUUAGGAUUGUAAAGCUCUUUCGCUCGUGACGAUGAUGACGGUAACGAGAGAAGAACGCCCCGGCUAACUUCGUGCCAGCCGCCGCAGUAAU